rnacentral:rRNA from 1 species
CCUACGGGAGGCAGCAGUGAGGAAUCUUGGUCAAUGGGCGUAAGCCUGAACCAGCCAAGUCGCGUGAGGGAUGAAGGUUCUAUGGAUCGUAAACCUCUUUUAUAAGGGAAUAAAGUGCGGGACGUGUCCCGCUUUGUAUGUACCUUAUGAAUAAGGAUCGGCUAACUCCGUGCCAGCAGCCGCGGUAAUACGGAGGACCCGAGCGUUAUCCGGAUUUAUUGGGUUUAAAGGGUGCGUAGGCGGCCUUUUAAGCAUGCGGUGAAAGUCUUUGGCUCAACCAUAGAAUGGCCGUUGAAACUGGGAGGCUUGAGUAUGUGUGAGGCAGGCGGAAUGCGUGGUGUAGCGGUGAAAUGCUUAGAUAUCACGCAGAACCCCGAUUGCGAAGGCGGCCUGCCAAGCCAUGACUGACGCUGAUGCACGAAGGCGUGGGGAUCAAACGGGAUUAGAUACCCUAGUAGUC